rnacentral:rRNA from 1 species
UACGGAGGAUGCGAGCGUUAUCCGGAUUUAUUGGGUUUAAAGGGUGCGUAGGUUGUUUUUUAAGUCAGCGGUGAAAGUUUGUGGCUCAACCAUAAAAUUGCCGUUGAAACUGGAAGACUUGAGUGUGUUUGAGGUAGGCGGAAUGCGUGGUGUAGCGGUGAAAUGCUUAGAGAUCAUACAGAACACCGAUUGCGAAGGCAGCUUACCAAUCUAUAUCUGACGCUGAUGCACGAGAGCAUGGGUAGCGAACAGG